rnacentral:sRNA from 1 species
CUGUGGGGAUCUGGUCCGGGGAGAUGAAGUGGAUGUGAGUGUCCACCCCGCCCGCGGUGAGGAUCUUCCGCUCGCCGGCGAUGAUUUCGGUGCCGGCGCCGAUCACGAUGUCCACACCGUCGGUGAUUUGCGGGUUCCCGGCCUUGCCGAUUUUGAAAAUAUGCCCGUCCCUCAGGGCGACGUCGGCUUUGUAGAUGCCGGUGUAGUCCAGGAUCACGGCGUUGGUGAUUACGGUGUCCGGGAUGUCCUCGUCGCGGACUGCCUGGCCGUUCUGGCCCAUCCCGUCG